AAGAGAACAUCUUACCAUCUUCAUCUUGGGUUGUUUUCCCGAGAGAUUUUUCGUUCAUUCGGUGGGGUGCACCCCGGUGGGCAUGGGUGUUGUCAAGUUGUGGUGUUGGGAUGUGGGUUAAGUUCCGCAAGAAGGCAACCCAUGUCCUUUAGUGCCAUCAUUCAGUUGGGCGAUUUUGGGAGACCGGUGAUUAGCGGAGGAAGGUGGGAUGACGUCAAGUCCUCAUGGCCCUUACGGUGGGCUACACACGUGCUACAAUGGCUACAGUGGGAGGCGAAGGAGCGAGGGGAGCAAAUCUCCAAAAGCGUCUCAGUUCGGAUUGCACUCUGCAACUCGAGUGCAUGAAGGCGGAAUCGCUAGUAAUCGAAUCAGCAUGC
rnacentral:rRNA from 1 species